AGAGAUCACUGCGGUGCUCACAUGUAGCCACUGUGAACACAGCUGGUGGUAUCUCUUU
rnacentral:pre_miRNA from 1 species